UUUAAUAGAGCUGAAAUUUAGCAUAGGAUUUAAGAUUCUAAAUUUGAAUUAAUAGUG
rnacentral:tRNA from 1 species